rnacentral:rRNA from 1 species
AUUGAACGCUGGCGGCAGGCCUAACACAUGCAAGUCGAACGAGUGGCGGACGGGUGAGUAAUGUCUGGGAAACUGCCCGAUGGAGGGGGAUAACUACUGGAAACGGUAGCUGAUACCGCAUACCAUCGGAUGUGCCCAGAUGGGAUUAGCUAGGUGGUGGGGUAACGGCUCACCUAGGCGACGAUCCCUAGCUGGGCUGAGAGGAUGACCAGUCACACUGGAACUGAGACACGGUCCAGACUCCUACGGGAGGCAGCAGUGGGGAAUAUUGCACAAUGGGCGAAAGCCUGAUGCAGCCAUGCCGCGUGUAUGAAGAAGGUCUUCGGGUUGUAAAGUACUUUCAGCGAGGAGGCGUUACCCGCAGAAUAAGCACCGGCUAACUCCGUGCCAGCAGCCGCGGUAAUAC